rnacentral:rRNA from 1 species
CCUACGGGAGGCAGCAGUGGGGAAUAUUGCACAAUGGGGGAAACCCUGAUGCAGCAACGCCGCGUGAGUGAGGAAGUAUUUCGGUAUGUAAAGCUCUAUCAGCAGGGAAUAGAAGAGACGGUACCUGAAAACGAAGCACCGGCUAACUACGUGCCAGCAGCCGCGGUAAUACGGAGGGGGCCAGCGUUAUCCGGAUUUACUGGGUGUAAAGGGAGCGUAGACGGUAAGGCAAGUCAGAAGUGAAAGCCCAGGGCUCAACCAGGGGACUGCUUUUGAAACUGUCAAACUAGAGUCCGUGAGAGGUAAGAGGAAUUCCUAGUGUAGCAGUGAAAUGCGUAGAUAUUAGGAGGAACACCAGUGGCGAAGGCGACUAACUGGCACGAAACUGACGUUGAGGCGCGAAAGCGUGGGGAGCAAACAGGAUUAGAUACCCGAGUAGUC